UGGGGAAUUUUGGACAAUGGGCGAAAGCCUGAUCCAGCAAUGCCGCGUGUGUGAAGAAGGCCUUCGGGUUGUAAAGCACUUUUGUCCGGAAAGAAAUCCUCUGGGUUAAUACCUCGGGGGGAUGACGGUACCGGAAGAAUAAGCACCGGCUAACUACGUGCCAGCAGCCGCGGUAAUACGUAGGGUGCAAGCGUUAAUCGGAAUUACUGGGCGUAAAGCGUGCGCAGGCGGUUUUGUAAGACGGAUGUGAAAUCCCCGGGCUUAACCUGGGAACUGCAUUCGUGACUGCAAGGCUAGAGUAUGGCAGAGGGGGGUUAGAAUUCCACGUGUAGCAGUGAAAUGCGUAGAGAUGUGGAGGAAUACCGAUGGCGAAGGCAGCCCCCUGGGCCAAUACUGACGCUCAUGCACGAAAGCGUGGGGAGCAAACAGGAUUAGAUACCCUGGUAGUCCACGCCCUAAACGAUGUCAACUAGUUGUUGGGGAUUCAUUUCCUUAGUAACGUAGCUAACGCGUGAAGUUGACCGCCUGGGGAGUACGGUCGCAAGAUUAAAACUUAAAUGAAUUGACGGGGUCAUAGCUGUUUCCU
rnacentral:rRNA from 1 species